rnacentral:rRNA from 1 species
AUUGAACGCUGGCGGAAUGCUUUACACAUGCAAGUCGAACGGCAGCACGGACUUCGGUCUGGUGGCGAGUGGCGAACGGGUGAGUAAUGUAUCGGAACGUGCCCAGUCGUGGGGGAUAACGUAGUGAAAAUUACGCUAAUACCGCAUACGAUCUAUGGAUGAAAGCGGGGGAUCGCAAGACCUCGCGCGAUUGGAGCGGCCGAUAUCAGAUUAGGUAGUUGGUGGGGUAAAGGCACACCAAGCCAACGAUCUGUAGCUGGUCUGAGAGGACGACCAGCCACACUGGAACUGAGACACGGUCCAGACUCCUACGGGAGGCAGCAGUGGGGAAUUUUGGACAAUGGGCGCAAGCCUGAUCCAGCCAUUCCGCGUGCAGGAUGAAGGCCCUCGGGUUGUAAACUGCUUUUGUACAGAACGAAAAGGUUUCUACUAAUACAGGGGGCUCAUGACGGUACUGUAAGAAUAAGCACCGGCUAACUACGUGCCAGCCGCCGCAGUAA